rnacentral:rRNA from 1 species
UACGUAGGGGCCUAGCGUUGUCCGGAAUUAUUGGGCGUAAAGAGCUCGUAGGCGGUUCGGCAAGUCGGAUGUGAAAUCUCCACGCUUAACGUGGAGGGGCCAUUCGAAACUGCCGUGACUCGAGUCCGGUAGGGGAGUGUGGAAUUCCCGGUGUAGCGGUGAAAUGCGCAGAUAUCAGGAGGAACACCGGUGGCGAAGGCGGAUCUCUGGGCCUUACCUGACGCUCAGGUGCGAAAGCUAGGGGAGCGAACAGG